GGAGCUUCCUCCCUCAACUCCAGUUGCAAAGCAACCAGACUGCAGUGCUGGCAUUCAGACAUAACACUGGCACCAUGGAACCAGAGGUCCAGGCAGCAGACCUCAUUACAAACUGAAGGUGAUGCUGCAUCACAGCAAAGAUAAGGCCAAGGACUCCCUCUGCCUGGUAGUUGCCCUGACAGUGGAGGGAAUGUAAUGCCUGGACAAGGCUGCUGGAGGCUCUGAUUUGAGGACCCCCUCUCACUUUGGUCCCUUACAGAUUUCAGUCCUGACUUGAUUAUUUGAGUUCCCCUCCUGCAGUUUCUGCCGACAGUGCAACCUUGAGAUGAAUGAUUCAAUGAGUUUUCAAGGGCUUACUCGGAUUUUGGCUUAUAUUUGAGUGGGAAAAUGUAAGAAUACUUGCAACUUGUCCACCUCUUCCAGUAUGGCAUCUGCAAGAUUCAUGAGACUGCAGCAACAAGGCAUUCAAUUGUACAUAUCACAGUGAAUGCCCAUCUUGUAGCUCUGAAAAAGAAGCAUUGGCACCAUCAAUUAUACUGCAAUUUCUGAAUGUUCACCAAGCAAGUAAGAAGAAAUGCUGAAUGCUUCAUCAGGAACAAACUGACUACCAGAAGUAGGACCAGAAAUGACUGUGACAUAUUUAAAUAUAUUCUGUAUCAUUCUUUUCAGUAAAAACUGGAUGCA